rnacentral:rRNA from 1 species
UAAUGAUGGCGGCGCUGUCUCCAGCAGAGACUCAGUGAAAUCGAAAUCGCAGUGAAGAUGCUGUGUACCCGCGGCUAGACGGAAAGACCCCGUGAACCUUUACUACAGCUUUACAUUGAACUUUGACCUUACCUGUGUAGGAUAGGUGGGAGGCUUUGAAGCAGGCACGCCAGUGUCUGUGGAGCCAUCCUUGAAAUACCACCCUGGUAAUGUUGGGGUUCUAACUCAAGCUUAACAGAGCUGAGGACAAUGU